rnacentral:rRNA from 1 species
GACGAACGCUGGCGGCGUGCUUAACACAUGCAAGUCGAACGAAGUGGCGAACGGGUGAGUAACGCGUAAUCAACCUGCCCUUCAGAGGGGGACAACAGUUGGAAACGACUGCUAAUACCGCAUACUGAAGGAGGGGAUGGCGGGGGAUUAGCUAGUUGGGGGGGUAAUGGCCCACCAGGGCGAUGAUCCGUAGCCGGUCUGAGAGGAUUAACGGCCAAAUUGGGACUGAGACACGGCCCAGACUCCUACGGGAGGCAGCAGUGGGGAAUCUUCCGCAAUGGACGAAAGUCUGACUGAGCAACGCCGCGUGAGUGAUGACGGCCUUCGGGUUGUAAAGCUCUGUUAAUCGGGACGCGGUACCGGAAUAGAAAGCCACGGCUAACUACGUGCCAGCAGCCGCGGUAAUUC